rnacentral:rRNA from 1 species
UACGUAGGGGGCAAGCGUUGUCCGGAAUCAUUGGGCGUAAAGCGCGUGUAGGCGGUCCGGUAAGUCGGCUGUGAAAGUCCAGGGCUCAACCCUGGGAUGCCGGUCGAUACUGCCGGACUAGAGUUCGGAAGAGGCGAGUGGAAUUCCCGGUGUAGCGGUGAAAUGCGCAGAUAUCGGGAGGAACACCAAUGGCGAAGGCAGCUCGCUGGGACGUUACUGACGCUGAGACGCGAAAGCUAGGGGAGCAAACAGG